GCAUAUAACUCGGCGAAAUGAUUUCAGCGGCCCGAAUUCCUCUAAAAUUUGACAUGGCUCAAAAGAACGUUAGCGGCGGGAUUAGGCAUGCAAGUCGUACGCACAGCUUCGGUGGUGAUGGCGCAAGGGUAAUAAUGCGAAGUAACCAACCCUGGUGGUUGGGCAUAACCGCGGGAAACUGCGGGUUAUUUCCCAGCGACGUCGCGAGAUGGCAUUCUUCUUUGCGACCAAAGGUGUGAUUCCGCUUCUAGGACGGGCCUUCGUGGUAUUAAGGUAGUUGGGUGAGGGUAAUGGCUCACCAAGCCGACAAUGCCUACCGGGGUUGUGAAAAGCAUGACCCCGCACACUGGAACUGAAAACCUGGUCCCAACCCCUACGGGGUGGGUGGCAGUCAAAAUAUUCUUCGGCAAGUGGGGCGAAAACCUUGAACCGAGCCACCCCCCCCGUGGAGAGAAAAAAAGGCCCUUCGGUUUGAAAACCUCUCUUUCAAAAAAGGAAGGAAAGGGGCCCUGGCAAAACCGUUCUUUUACUCUUUUUUAAGAAAAAAGCGUUGGGCUUAGUUUCGGGGCCACCCCCCCCGGGUAAGACCAACCAGCCGAAACUUUUUUUCGAAUUUCCGGGGCUUAAAGGCCGGGGGGGGGCGGAAAAACCCCCUCCCUUUCUUUAAAUCCCCCCGGCCCCACCGGGGGAAAAAGGGGCCGAAAACAAAUGGCUGGGGGGGGGGUAGGGGAAAAUGGAUUUUUCGGGGGGGAAGGUGAAAUUUCUUUAAAAUUGAAAAGAACCCCCCCGGGAAAACCAAUUUCUGGAACCCUUUUCGGGAGCUGAAAACCCAAAAGCCGGGGGGAACCAAACGGGAUUUAGAUCCCCCGGUAGUCCUGGCUGUAAACAUUGCGCACUGGGUAGUGGAACCCGGCCGAUGGUUUUCACUGCCGCAGGAAACCGUGAAGUGCCCCCGCUUGAGUAGUUAUGGUCGGCAAGGCUGAACUCAAAGUAAUGACGGCGCCUCACACUAGCCAGUGUCCAUGUAAUGCGUCGUCAUCUAUAACAGG
rnacentral:rRNA from 1 species